ensembl:lncRNA
AGCCAGGUCGUCACCUAGGGACGCUGCGCCGGGCUGCAGGGACCCAGGCCUUCCCCCAGCCGCCCCGGAAUCUGAGAAACCCCGGACAGAGAAGCCUCGAGGCCCAGGGCUGAGCCCCUGCAGACUGGAGAACCCCCGUUUCCCAAGUGCAGCUCACCAGGCACCUCCACUGCUGAUUGAGACCCAGGACACGUCUCGUGGAGAAGCUGGGUGCGCCCUGCAGGAGCUCUCAGGACACUUCGUGCAGGGAACAGGGGCCGCUCUCAGCCAAGUGGAGGAGGCAGAAGGGGACGGCGGGCCUGACGGAUCGCGAUGGCUCCCUGACCCGCACCCUGGCCCUGCGACACCCUGGGCCGGUGCUGAGCAGACGGCAGCAGUGGCUGGGCCUCAGGCCUCUCCCGGGAGCCUCCCACACCAGCCUCGGCCGGCGCUGGGGCCCUGGCCCCGGGUUUGCCUCCAUCUGCCCGCUGAGGGCUGGGACCCCAGGUGGAAAGAGCUGUUGGGUCUCUGUCCUGCAGGCGAGGGCAGGAGAAGCUACUCAGUUCAACCGAGCACCGACUCCGUGAACGCCGUCUAUGUCCAGGCCCACAUGAGAUCGACGAAGAGCUCAUAGCGAGCGGGCUGCACAGCUUGUGAGGAGAUGGACGCCUGGAGCCACCGGGAUUCUGCUGCCCUUGGUGUAGCCGUGGCCUGGCAGGGGCUUUUCAACACCCACCGGGGAGCCCCAGGUACCGCUGAGCCCGAGAGCCACUGUGCCCGGGCUAGGAGCAGUCAGACUCUGCCUGGGGGUGCCCCUGGAGCGUCCACUUCUUCAGUCACUGCAGAAGCUGCGAGAGCUGUUAAGCGGACGGUCUUGGAGGGAAAGAGGUUCUUGAACAGACGAGUCUUCUCAGCUUGAUUUCAGCCAGGGCCUUGCCCCGCGCUACAGCCUGAGCUUACUCCUUCCUGGAACCGUGUCCCUUCUGUCCAUCCUGACUUUGAGGCUAAAUCAGCACAAACACGCAGUCAGGUCCGUGAACUGCCGCUCGACGCCGCAGGUGGCUGGCAUCCAUCCCGGCCGAUGCGUGGCUGCGGUCACCUCGGAUAAAACGACCCGAGAGGCAAAAACGAGGCGCAGCCGCCACCUCCCGUCAGCAGCCUCCGCUCCCCGCCCACCUCCCGUAACUCGGGGACUGAAAUGCUCCCCCUCCUGGGCUCCACUUUAAAGCUCAGCUCAUUUACCUUGAAAAGGGGUAAAAAGCAGCAACAGGACCUGAAAGGCUGAAGCUGGUCUCCCCAUUUUCUCUCACAUUCUACAGGUCCUUCAGGGUCUCCUGAUCCCCGCUGGACCCGUGGCCCGUGGGCUGCCGUGAGAGCUUGCAGUUGGGUAACACAGCUCUGGACGCGGCCUUCCUACAAUGACUGUCAGAACAGACGAUCCACAGCAAGAUGGAGCAACGUGGGGAAACGGCAAUUUAACAGAUUACAUCACCAACAGGACACGAGCCCCUCCUCAGCCCAGCUCUGCCACGUCCUGGCCGUGUAAUCUCAGGCGGCCAGCCCCUGCCGGUGCCUUGUCUGUAAGAGGUGCCCACGUGCAGACCCAUCAGGACGACGCUGCACGGACGUGUUAGCACACCUCAAUCGCCGGACCGUGGGCAGAUGGAGACCCUGCAGGACUCGCCUCCUUGUUCUGAAGCUGCUGUCUCCAAAGCAGCUUUCCCAGAAGAACCGGGACUGCACGAUGUCAUUCAAAAGCAGACACAAGACUGAGGGGAGAGCUGACAAAGGAGCUCGGGGACCAAGUGGCGCUGGACACACAGGGCUGCCCACGGCCACUGCACACCUGCCCACGGGGUGAACGCAGGGGCCCGGUGUUUGCCAAGACUCUGGACCAAGGAAACAGAGGCCGGCCCCACGAUUCAGGCGUCUCCUAAUCUGUGCUGUGUCAGAGUUUCUCCUCAUGAAUAGUUUCAAAUACAGAGAACGCUUGAAAAAUAACCCAUUGCGCUGGACUGUCCGCCUGCUUUCUCCUGUGGAUCCGUCUCACGUAGACGUGGUGGCCCUUCACCCCCAAGAACCUCGCUCUGUGUCUGCCACCGCCCAGUCACACUCCUGUCACUGGGGACCUUUCCUGUCCCCGCGGCCCACCCCAUGCCUCUGACCACAGAACUGGUCAGGACUCGGGCCUUGCAUCAAUCCGGUUGGCCAAAAGUUUGUUCGGGUCUUUCCGUGAGACUUUUUUCUUUUUGGUCAAUUCAAUAUUUGUUUUUACGUCUCUUUUGUCUCUCCAAACAUUCUCUCCUUUUCAGUUCAGUUACUCAGUCACGUCUGACUCUUUGCGACCCCAUGGACUGCAGCACACCAGGCCACCCUGUCCAUCACCAACUCCCGGAGUUUGCUGAAACUCAUGUCCCUUGAGUCGGUGAUGCCAUCCAACCCUCUCAUCCUCUAUCGUCCCCUUCUCCUCCCACCUUCAAUCUUUCCCAGCAUCAGGGUCUUUCCCAGUGAGUCAGCUCUUCACAUCAGGUGGCCAGAGUAUUGGAGUUUCAGCUUCAACAUCGGUCCUUCCAAUGAACACCCAGGACUGAUUUCCUUUAGGAUAUUCUCCCACAAAAGCUCAUUUCUCUUCAUCUGGAAGCACACAGACCCCUCAUCCCUUCAUACUGUUCAUGAUCUCAGAGCCAGUUCACUCUCACAGGAAAGAAAGUCCCUCGGACACACCCGCUGUCUCUCAGAGACGGGUUGCUGCCUUCCUUAGUAACUGCUGUUACGACGAAGAGCCUACUUUCUUGUCACUUGCGACUUGCGGACGCUCAAAACAACUAAAACAGGAGCAGAAUUCACGAGAACUGAAGUCCUGAGUCGGGCCUGCUCCAGGGGUCUUGGUCGCUGCCAAAAACAACAGACUCUUGAAAUUUCCUUGGAUUUUACCAAAGAAUCUUAGUUCCUUUGUAUCGCAUCCUGUUUAAGAGCCAGAUACAGAAUUUCUUGGGCCGGUUUUUUGAAUGUUCCUGUGUACUUUGUGGAAAGUUUUGGAAUUUGCCCUUUCAGCAAUGCAUCCAAGUCUUACAUGAGCCUCAAAUACAAAGACGUUCUUCACCUAAAGGGAAGUAAUCCCGGUUAAACUUGGUACAAAGUGGCCCUGGUGAGGCUGUGCCACCUGGACAGCGACUCUGGCCCACCUCCUGACUGGGGUGGUGGUCACGUCCUCGCCCACCUUCCCGGGCCGUCAGGGUGAGACACGGGGCGUGGAGGCGGUUGAAAGCGUCAUCUGAGACAGGGAGUGAAGUGGGUGACCUCUCCCUGCCAUCGUCCCCCAGAGCCUCAACCCUGGACCACCGCCGCCCCCACCCCCGAGGAUCUCAGCAGUGCUACCCAUUCCUCCCUGGGAGCGUCCGGGACUGAGCUCACGUCCUGCCUCGGGAGCCUGUCACGGUCCCCAGCAGCGGGACGGGAGGGCUGGAAGGUGCUCAGGCGUGGGCAGUGCCCCCCAGAGUUACCUCCACAUGGCCGGCGUCCCCCCAGGACGUGGGAAACAGACCCAGACGCAGAGAUGCCACGUGGAGAUGGGGGCAGAGACUGCAGAGAUGCUCCUACGGGCUGAGGACCACCCGCCGCCUCCACUGGCAUGUGGACAGGCCCCACUGGGCUCUGGGGGGAGCCAGGCCUGCAGGCACCGCGCCCCAGACUGGCUGUCGAGCAGGCCGCGUGGCCGCGGUGCUCAGCUGGUGGGCUCGGCGGCCACCGCGGGAGGCACUCACGGCUGGGAAAGGCCGCCUUGUCCGCGGACGGGCCACGGCUGUACCCGGGAGGGGGACUCGCACACGGUGAGAGGAAGCGUCAGCCUCACGGCAGUGGCGGGGAGACGGGGAAGCAAGGGGGCUUUCCAGGGCCCCGGCCGCACCUUGACCUGAAGAGGACGCGGGAGCUGCUUAACGAUCGUAUCAGCACGAGGACUCACACGUUCUCUCCCCAAACAGCAGACAGACGUGCCUGCCCAGUCCCCGUGCUGAGGAGGUGCCCUGUGUGGGGCGGGCAGCCGCUCACCUGGCACCCAGUGAAGCAACUCGCUCACUGAAAAGUUACUGGGUCGAGUAGAAAAUGCAGCCGAGUCCGGUCACACGUCGGGGCAGGACGCCACCUCCACAUCCACGACAGCAAACACCAGGAACACAGAGGCCUCCCUCUGUGGCCCCGCUGCUCACUCACUGAUAAGGAGAAGCCCGGGCCACGGCGCCUGGGGAUGGCCACCCCGCUUCUCGCGGUCCUCAGCAAGGACCCCACCACAGCCGACUCCCUGGCAUCACGGCGAUUCAAGGAUUGGCAAAUGACGCAACCCCGCCUGUGGGUUUUUUUUUUUUUUUUUAGCCCUCAUAGAAAAACUUUAUUGGAAAGCAGGGAAAACUACCAAGAUAUGAAUGAAGACAAAAAAUAAACAAAAGUUCAGGCAUAAAGUGCACGACCUUGGUUUAAGUGGGAAGGGACCCUUUGGUGGUUUGUAGUUAGUGACCUAUAUUUUCACUUUGUGGCGCUGCAGCUGCUACAGCUAAGCCGCGUCAGUCGUGUCCGACUCUGUGCGACCCC